GGGCCCGUAGUUCAGUUGGGAGAAUACCUGAUUUGCAUUCAGGGGGUCGAGAGUUCGAGUCUCUUCGGGUCCACCA
rnacentral:tRNA from 1 species